GUGCUCACUUCGGCGGCACAUAUACUAAAACUGGAAUGAUACAGAGAAGAUAAACAUGGCCCUUGAGCAAGGAUGACAUGCAAAUUCACAAAGCGUUCCAUAUUUAA